rnacentral:tRNA from 1 species
GGAGAGGUGGCAGAGCGGUUGAAUGCGCCAGUCUCGAAAACUGGAAUAGUCGCAAGGCUAUCGGGGGUUCGAAUCCCCCCCUCUCCGCCA